AUCAAGCAGCACUCCAGAGUGUCCAGCUCGGAGUUGUCCAGUCAGUCGCGGCAGAGCUGGGCGUCCUCCAGUUCACUGUCAGACACCUACGAGGGGAAUUAUGGGACAAUAAAGCGACGAAACACCUCGGAGAACCCCUCCUCGCCAUCCAACGAGGAAGGAGGGCAAAGCACAGACCCUGCCUACAAAACGGUGACAUCAAGCACAGAGAAGGGCCUGAUAGUGUACUGUAUCACCUCCCCCACCAAGGAUGAGCAUUACCGAGCUCCCCCUCCCACCCCUCCAGGCUACCAGGGUCUGGCUCUGGGGGCUCUCACAGACGGAGUAGUCGGUGGGCCAGGAGGUCUCCUCCCUAGGCCUCCUCACCUCAGACCUCCGGACUACAGCGUGGCCCUGCAGAGAAGCAAACUCCUGCAGAGCCCCGGAGCAGCAGGCGGUUUGGCUGAGGCACGGAGGCUGGCUGGUAACCAUCUCCUCCACACAGCUGGCUCCACGCAGGGCCACUCCAGACCAGCCAGCGUCUGCCUCCCGCCACAGGAGCUGGCUGAUAGCGACGAUGAUGGACAAGUGUCGGCGGUGUAAAGAUGCUCUCAUGCACACACACACAUUCUUAUACACAGACUGAGUCCUGCUGAUCAGGCGUUGGACUAAGCCAACAGCCUGCCGUCACCAUGUGCCAGCCCACAGCCCUGUGUGGCAUCGCUCUGGACCGUAAUGCACCUCUGGACCACUCUGCUGGGUCAUGUGACCUCUCUCCACCACCCAGACCUCGUACAAUCAUCUGUUUUUAAACCCAUGCCAGAAAACUGAGAAGAAAAGAAAGGUUUUAAAAACUUGUGAACAAAGCAGGGACAAUGAUGGGACAGAGUCGCAUCACAGGGGACGGACGUCACAAUUGACAAACUACAGGAAUGAGUGACAGUAACGAUGCCACAUGAGAAGUCAGCCUCGUUGGAAACAGAUCUCCGUGUACCUCACGUUGCUUUUUACAGUUUUAACAUUUUGUACAGUGAUUUUUUUUUUCCUUCUUUUCAUUUGCAUCUCUAAGCUUUGUAAAGUUUCAUGUGAGUACAGUGCAGAGGUGCAGACACAGGGGUAGAGAGGUGUCGGUGUAAGCAUUAGGACGAGCUUUGGCUCAUGGGGGAUUUCUUUUGUUUGUUUGUUUUACUGUUUUUGUUUGUUGUUUGCUGUCAGCCCCAAAGAAGAUGAAUGUAGAAUAACAGACAAGAAAAAGGUUGUUUUUUUUGGUUGCUAUCAAACCCUGGCACUGAUGAGAUGAAUUUACAUGAAUAGCAUCAGUUCAAAUGCACAAUGGCAACAAAACCAACUUCAUCCUCCCAUGCUUACACUUCUGACUGAGGGCAGGAGCGCCCUCAGGAGCCACACAGAGCCCCGUGCAUAUUUUUCACAUUGAACUCCUGAACUAACAGAAGCACGUCUGUUUGUGUCGAGCACUUAUUGAACUUUGCUGAGCUUCACAGAAAAAAAAAAGACGAGCAGCAUCUCUCAGGCAAUUGUGUGUCUUUGUUGCGCUCUCCGCCACCGAGCCGCCUCUCUUACUGCUCGUUCAGUCUGACACGAGGUACUGUAGCAGCAUGCUGCCUCCUGGAUGCUUUAUAAAAAAUUGUAUUAGAACUUGUUUUUAAUGAGCUGAAGAACAAAUGUGUCGCUGCUUCCUGUAGAGUAAACGCGUGUCGUUAUUUUAUUGCAGCAGCUAUAAUAAAACAGUACAUUGGCACUGUGUGGACACACAGCAUGCAUGCGUAUACACACACACACGCACACGCACUAGAAUCUCAGUUGGUGUGCUUAAAGACAAAGAACAGUAUUUACACCAACGCUUACACAGUUGUUUACAGUGUUUAUUAGACUAGUUGUCUAUUGAAUUACAGGCUGAAAUGUUCGAGUACAGUGCUUUUGGAUCUUGUACAUUCGUUUUUGAUGCAGCAGGAAAAAAGCAGAUAUGUGCUCCAGGCGACCUCUCUCAUUUCGGGUUUUGCCUCUUAUUUAAAAGAACGAGCAACAAAGCAAACCUAUAGAUAAUGUAUUUUAACGGCCGGCUCGCAGCUCCAUUCCAUGUUCAUCGCAUAUUUUGUGGACUGUUUAAAAGAUGCGCUAGAAUAUGUUUCAUUUGUAAUGAAAACAGAGGCCUAUUUGUACAUUCUGGUUAAUGUUUUGGAAAACAGUUUUUAUUUGUGUGUGUGUAGCGCAGUGGGGGUGUAACUGGAAUCAGAUGACCUUCUCCUGCUGCCGUCUGUCUCACGCUUGUGAUGCUUUUGAUGCUUUUUGUAUUUGUUUUGGCACACAAAGACUUGAAAUGAUUAAUGCUAAUAUAUACAUGGCAUAUGUAUGAAUUUAUAUAUAUUUAGUUGUUUCUUUACCAUAAAUUAAUGUCAGCUGAUCAUGUAUAGAUGAGAGAAAGAGAGUCCUCUACAAAAGGCUAUUUUUGAAUAUUUUGUUAUGACUGCCCUGGACUCUUUCUGUUUCCUGUCUCGUGUUUUCCUCUCACACUCAGUUGUUGGUGCCAUUUCUGAUUGCUGCUGAGUUUUGGGAUACGACUGCUCGUGAGUGUUGUGCAAUUCUAUUUGCGAGGUUGGGAUCAACAUAGCAUCUGUUAAAAAUCCCACUGUGCUUCAAGGUGGCUGUACAGCACAUAAAGAAAGGCUCAGAAGUAAUUUUCAAUAAAAGCCCUUCUCAUCUCGCAGCUCUCGCCUGCAGAAAGCUGAGGCCCUUGUGGGCCUCUCACUGUCGGCUUCAUGUCACGAGAUGAGUUCAUUCAAACUCAGAUUGGAUGAUUGAAGAGACUGUUUGGUGUUAUUUUAUCUGUUUGAGUUGAACAGAACACCUUGCUACGAUGCCAUGUCUAGCGUAGCCACUAAUUUCUUCCUCCUGCCUCCUCCUCAGCCCUGUUGUCCCCUCAGUAGGACGUUAAACCUUCCUGUACUUGUCCAAUAGAUUUUACUUCAUUGCUUUCGAGUGUUAUGACUCACGAGCAUCCACUGUGACCCUCACCCUACUUUCCUGUUCCUUUUUUAAAUAAUAU